rnacentral:rRNA from 1 species
UAUAGGGUUGGUAAGGGAACGUAGAACGGACCGACCCUUCGGGGAGCCUAGUACAGGUGUUGCAUGGCUGUCGUCAGCUCGUGUCGUGAGAUGUUCGGUUAAGUCCGCUAACGAGCGCAACCCUCGUCGUAUGUUAUAUGUGUCAUACGAGACUGCCGGUAAAAGCCGGAGGAAGGUGAGGAUGAUGUCAAGUCAGCAUGACCUUUAUAUCCAGGGCUACACACACGCUACAAUGGUCUGUACAAUGGGUAGCCAAGCCGCGAGGCGGAGCCAAUCCUGAAAGCAGGCCUCAGUUCAGAUUGCAGUCUGCAACUCGACUGCAUGAAGCCGGAGUUGCUAGUAACCGCAGGUCAGCAAUACUGCGGUGAAUACGUUCCCGGGUCUU